rnacentral:lncRNA from 10 species
UAGAGAAUACGUUUUUAAUUGACUAAGAAUGAUCUUGUUCUCCUGCCCCUGUGAUUCUAAGCUUAUAUUGUAUCGGCCGAGAUCGCACCUCUGCACUCCAGCCUGGGCGACAGAGUGAGACUCCGUCUCAAAAAAAGAAAAAAAAGAAAAGUAAACUAAGCAUUUUGAUUUCUCUAGACAAACUCGUAAACUUUCUUAAAACACUACGAGAUGUUUUCGCAACUUUUUUUUUUUUUUAGUUCAUCAACUAUCAUUAGUGUUAGUGUAUUUUGUGUGUGGCCCAAGAUAAUUCUCCUUGUUCCAGUGUGACCCAGGGAAGCCAAAAGGUUGGACAUCCUUGAAGUAAUGAAAGUUGAUACCAUGGCUGCUUUAUGGCAGAAGUCAGAAAUUGCCUCCCUCCAUUGAUGUGCUCGUUAGUAUUGGAAAGGCAAAUCAAGAAGUUAGGAGAGGCUGCCUUCACACAGCCUUUCAAAUAUAUGAAGUGUUAUGGAAUUACAGCGUUAGAUAAUAUUUUACCUGAAGUUCCAAAAGAGUUUUCUUCCUAUUUA